rnacentral:rRNA from 1 species
UACGGAAGGCAGCAGUGGGGAAUAUUGCACAAUGGGCGCAAGCCUGAUGCAGCCAUGCCGCGUGUAUGAAGAAGGCCUUCGGGUUGUAAAGUACUUUCAGCGGGGAGGAAGGCGGUGGAGUUAAUAGCUUCACCGAUUGACGUUACCCGCAGAAGAAGCACCGGCUAACUCCGUGCCAGCAGCCGCGGUAAUACGGAGGGUGCAAGCGUUAAUCGGAAUUACUGGGCGUAAAGCGCACGCAGGCGGUCUGUCAAGUCGGAUGUGAAAUCCCCGGGCUUAACCUGGGAACUGCAUUCGAAACUGGCAGGCUAGAGUCUUGUAGAGGGGGUAGAAUUCCAGGUGUAGCGGUGAAAUGCGUAGAGAUCUGGAGGAAUACCGGUGGCGAAGGCGGCCCCUGGGACAAAGACUGACGCUCAGGGU